AAAUAAUUAUGGUUUAAUAACUUCACUCUCCUGGCAUGGUGGUCAUUAUGCAGGACUUUGAUGUAUUAUUCUAAGCAAUUGAUUUACUCAGUUUCAUUUUUCAAAGAAAUACUGUGAGACCCACUCAACUGGAUGCCUUCAAGACCUCAAUAAAAUGCUAACAAAAGGAACGUGUAACAAUUCAGGAUGUUAAAUGUAGGGGCAGCAGUAUGUUUGCUACAGGAGAAUGACAGGCUUCCCAUUUACGUUUUAUAUCUCUGCUAAACAGCAAAGAGCUGGAUCGGUUUCUUGCCAAUCUCCUGCUCUACUUUUCUUGCUACUUUGAGAAAAAAGCUCUGGAGAAAAAGACCAAAGUCUCUCAUGGGAGAGGACACGGAGAGGCAGAUGACUGGAGAAACGUGCUAAGGUGAAGCUGGCACAAAAGCAGCCUGCCCUGUGUCACUUCAGGCUGCUGCUGGGGAUAGAUCUGCCUCAACAGCACCAUAUGGCUUUUGACAGGAAGUCAAACCGGCGCCUGGCCCUGAGCAAAAUCAUAACCCAGCAUUCCCCUCUGAUGGCCCCUCUGCUGCCUACUCCACAAGAAGAGGCCUGUCACCUGUUUGGGAGCUUCAGAUGUCUUAAAGUGUCCUCAACUUUACACUUUGAUUCAUAGUAGGGUGUCCAUAUGGUCCGUUCAUAAGGGACACGUCCUUGCCAGGAUUUUAAUAUUGCCUAAAACAUCCAAAGCAGUUUGACCAAUAACAUGCAGGUAUUGUACAUAAUCGACCAAUCGUGUGGCUGCGCAUGAGAAGGUGAGAUCUACAGGGAACGAUCAAAGCAAUGCAAAUAUGCGCACAUGCUUGUUCAUUCGUUUGACUUGAAGUGUCACUGUGCACCGAUCAAAAAAGACACCAAAGUAGGUACGAGAGUGAUUUGAAGCAUAAGGAGCUGUCUGCUCUGCCCUCUAUAGCUCUCAUGAAUGUCACACAAUGAUCGACCUGCACAGUGCAACAGUCAAAACCUGGAUAUUUUAGGUAAUAUUAAAAUCCUGGCCGGGACGUGUCCCGUAUGAACAGUGCAUAUGGCCACCCUAAUUCAGAGGCUCUGAUGGAGUGACUUACAGAAUAGCUAAAGUCAUUUAGUUUUGGAAUUCUUGGAAAGCCUUUGAGCCAAUUCAGCUGAGUGACACUGAAGCUUUAGGGAGGCCAGAGUGAAGAGGAGAUUGAGGACGAGGAAGCUAACAAAACUACCUUUUAGUGUUUGUGUGUUUUACAACAUGCAAAUUUCUUUCAACUAUUAUUUGUUGCCCUGGUUAUUGUCCACUGUGUUUUGCAUGAUCGUUAUUGACUAUAAUCAUAUUUAAUAUUGAAAAAUAACAAUACAUGUCACUAGGUGGCACUUUCCAUGUUCUCAUGGAAGUGAUUAAUGGGAAAAAGAAAUCAUACUGCAAAUCUGGGUAAAUAAAAUGCAUUACAU
ensembl:lncRNA